GAUGAAGAACGUAGCGAAAUGCGAUAAGUAAUGUGAAUUGCAGAAUUCAGUGAAUCAUCGAAUCUUUGAACUCACAUUGCGCCCGCUGGUAUUCCGGCGGGCAUGCCUGUUCGAGCGUCAUUUCAACCCUCAAGCUCUCCGGAGUUUGGUGUUGGGGCGCCUGGGGCUUUUCGACCUCAGGGCCCUCAAGUCCAUCGGCGGGACCGCCAGGACACUGAGCGCAGUAGUAUUAUUUCGCUCGGUAGGAUCUUCCACGGCGGGUCGAUCUGGCCGCUAAACCCCCCAAUUCUCACCAAAGGUUGACCUCGGAUCAGGUAGGAAUACCCGCUGAACUUAAGCAUAUCAAUAGCGGAGGA
rnacentral:misc_RNA from 1 species